UUGGAUCACCAGUGAGUGGCGGACGGGUGAGUAACACGUAGGUAACCUGCCCCGGAGCGGGGGAUAACAUUUGGAAACAGAUGCUAAUACCGCAUAACAACAAAAGCCACAUGGCUUUUGUUUGAAAGAUGGCUUUGGCUAUCACUCUGGGAUGGACCUGCGGCGCAUUAGCUAGUUGGUAAGGUAACGGCUUACCAAGGCGAUGAUGCAUAGCCGAGUUGAGAGACUGAUCGGCCACAAUGGAACUGAGACACGGUCCAUACUCCUACGGGAGGCAGCAGUAGGGAAUCUUCCACAAUGGGCGCAAGCCUGAUGGAGCAACACCGCGUGAGUGAAGAAGGGUUUCGGCUCGUAAAGCUCUGUUGUUGGAGAAGAACGUGCGUGAGAGUAACUGUUCACGCAGUGACGGUAUCCAACCAGAAAGUCACGGCUAACUACGUGCCAGCAGCCGCGGUAAUACGUAGGUGGCAAGCGUUAUCCGGAUUUAUUGGGCGUAAAGCGAGCGCAGGCGGUUGCUUAGGUCUGAUGUGAAAGCCUUCGGCUUAACCGAAGAAGUGCUUCGGAAACCGGGCGACUUGAGUGCAGAAGAGGACAGUGGAACUCCGUGUGUAGCGGUGGAAUGCGUAGAUAUAUGGAAGAACACCAGUGGCGAAGGCGGCUGUCUGGUCUGCAACUGACGCUGAGGCUCGAAAGCAUGGGUAGCGAACAGGAUUAGAUACCCUGGUAGUCCAUGCCGUAAACGAUGAGUGCUAGGUGUUGGAGGGUUUCCGCCCUUCAGUGCCGGAGCUAACGCAUUAAGCACUCCGCCUGGGGAGUACGACCGCAAGGUUGAAACUCAAAGGAAUUGACGGGGGCCCGCACAAGCGGUGGAGCAUGUGGUUUAAUUCGAAGCUACGCGAAGAACCUUACCAGGUCUUGACAUCUUGCGCUAACCUUAGAGAUAAGGCGUUCCCUUCGGGGACGCAAUGACAGGUGGUGCAUGGUCGUCGUCAGCUCGUGUCGUGAGAUGUUGGGUUAAGUCCCGCAACGAGCGCAACCCUUGUUACUAGUUGCCAGCAUUAAGUUGGGCACUCUAGUGAGACUGCCGGUGACAAACCGGAGGAAGGUGGGGACGACGUCAGAUCAUCAUGCCCCUUAUGACCUGGGCUACACACGUGCUACAAUGGACGGUACAACGAGUCGCAAGCUCGCGAGAGUAAGCUAAUCUCUUAAAGCCGUUCUCAGUUCGGACUGUAGGCUGCAACUCGCCUACACGAAGUCGGAAUCGCUAGUAAUCGCGGAUCAGC
rnacentral:rRNA from 1 species